rnacentral:rRNA from 1 species
CGAUGAACCACUUCGGUGGGGAUUAGUGGCGAACGGGUGAGUAACACGUGGGCAAUCUGCCCUUCACUCUGGGACAAGCCCUGGAAACGGGGUCUAAUACCGGAUAUCACUUCCACUCGCAUGGGUGGGGGUUGAAAGCUCCGGCGGUGAAGGAUGAGCCCGCGGCCUAUCAGCUUGUUGGUGAGGUAAUGGCUCACCAAGGCGACGACGGGUAGCCGGCCUGAGAGGGCGACCGGCCACACUGGGACUGAGACACGGCCCAGACUCCUACGGGAGGCAGCAGUGGGGAAUAUUGCACAAUGGGCGAAAGCCUGAUGCAGCGACGCCGCGUGAGGGAUGACGGCCUUCGGGUUGUAAACCUCUUUCAGCAGGGAAGAAGCGAAAGUGACGGUACCUGCAGAAGAAGCGCCGGCUAACUACGUGCCAGCAGCCGCGGUAAUACGUAGGGCGCAAGCGUUGUCCGGAAUUAUUGGGCGUAAAGAGCUCGUAGGCGGUCUGUCACGUCGGAUGUGAAAGCCCGGGGCUUAACCCCGGGUCUGCAUUCGAUACGGGCAGACUAGAGUGUGGUAGGGGAGAUCGGAAUUCCUGGUGUAGCGGUGAAAUGCGCAGAUAUCAGGAGG